rnacentral:rRNA from 1 species
AAGCAUGAGCUGUGAUGGGGAAGGAAAUUAAGUACGGAAGUUCCUGAUUUCACGCUGUCAAGAAAAGCCUCUAGGAAGAGUAGUACUGCCCGUACCGCAAACCGACACAGGUAGAUGAGGAGAGAAUCCUAAGGUGAGCGAGAGAACUCUCGUUAAGGAACUCGGCAAAAUGACCCCGUAACUUCGGGAGAAGGGGUGCUCUAUUAGGGUGCAAGCCCGAGAGAGCCGCAGUGAAUAGGCCCAGGCGACUGUUUAGCAAAAACACAGGUCUCUGCAAAACCGUAAGGUGACGUAUAGGGGCUGACGCCUGCCCGGUGCUGGAAGGUUAAGAGGAGUGCUUAGCUUCGGCGAAGGUACGAAUUGAAGCCCCAGUAAACGGCGGCCGUAACUAUAACGGUCCUAAGGUAGCGAAAUUCCUUGUCGGGUAAGUUCCGACCCGCACGAAAGGCGCAACGAUCUGGGCACUGUCUCAACGAGAGACUCGGUGAAAUUAUAGUACCUGUGAAGAUGCAGGUUACCCGCGACAGGACGGAAAGACCCCGUGGAGCUUUACUGCAACCUGAUAUGGAAUGUUUGU